UACGUAGGAUGCAAGCGUUGUCCGGAAUUAUUGGGCGUAAAGAGCGCGCAGGCGGUAACUCAAGUCAGAUGUGAAAUAUCCGGGCUUAACCCGGAGGGGUCAUUUGAAACUGAGUAACUAGAGUACAGCAGAGGAUAGCGGAAUUCCCGGUGUAGUGGUGAAAUGCGUAGAUAUCGGGAGGAACACCAGUGGCGAAGGCGGGCACCUGGGCUAACACUGACGCUGAUGCGCGAAAGCUAGGGGAGCAAACAGG
rnacentral:rRNA from 1 species